UAAGGUGCGAAGUACCCUAACAAACUUUUAAUACCCUAAUUUGUAUAUUUCGAUAAUAUUGAAUUAAAUAAUCCUUUGGGAGCAUAUUCCACUACCCAUACACCAUUACAAAGCAUUUGAAGUGAGUGUGAAGAACGAGGAAGGAAAUUCUGUGGUCAACGUUAACAGUCUGAUUGGGCCAUAUACAUAUGUAUAGGGAAAUAUAUAGUACGAAUAAACGAGUUAUAUACAUAGCAGUUAGAAUCUAAAAUGCCAACAGGUGGUCCCGAGUUGGAGGAUAUUCUUCAAAAAUGGAAUAUUAUCCAUUUACCUCCUAUUUCAAAAGAUGAGAAUAUAAAUAUAAAAGUUUUGAAAAUUAUAAAUUGCAAAGAUUUAGAUGAACUUACCAAAAGAUUUUAAUUAGGGGACCGAGUCCUUUUCCAACAUUCAAAAAUGGAGAAAAGAAAUUGGUAAUCCUAUCAAAAUAAAAAAUUCCGGGACUUAACAAACAUUCCCUCAACCUCGCGUAAUUCAAGUAGCUCUUCAGCUAACUUUUCUCAGGAACCCUAAUGGAACGCUUUGGCAACAAUAGUGAUUUGAGUUAUGAACCAAUUUGAACCAAAAUAAAAUUGGAAAAACCAAAACCAGGACAUCUGACCAACCAAGGAAAUUUAUGAGUAACAACCAUUGUAAACUAAUGAGAUGCACAUGCAGGAGAGCAAUCACAUGGAAAAUUAAAUAAUUGCUAUGUUCCCAAAGGAAAAACUUUAUUCUUAACGCACUCACAGACGUGGAAAACUAUACACAAAAUAUAACAAUAUGAAGAGAAACCAAUAUGCGUACGAUAUUAAAAUCAGCUAAUAAUAUUGGUAGAUAGGUACAUUAGAAGUGAAUAUGCAUAGUUUAAAAUAUGUAAAAAUAGUUUGAGAAGAAAAUGCUAAAGAAAUUAUUCAUAGUUGAACUAUUUUUACAAAUGUGGCAAUCCAGCUCUAACUACAGAAUUAGUCGAAUUAAUCUUAAAGAUAUAUUUAAGGCCUGACCGCAGUACAAGAAUACUCAUGGACCAAAACUGUAUUGCAGAAGAAAUAUACUCCAAUUUUUGAAUCGGAAAGUAAAUUAAUGGAUGUAUAUAAUUUGGUAAAGAACGAAAACUUUAUUAAAGUCUCUGGGAUAAAAACAAUCUUCAAUAAAAUGGAUCCAACAAAUUCGGCUUCCAACGUCAUUAUUUAUAAUGCAGUUGACGUGGCGCCUUCACGGAUUUCUAUAUCCAACUUCCAAGUACAUCAAAAGAGAUAAAUAUUGUAAAAACUAACUAUGGAAAUAUACAAUAAGGAAUUCGCAGAAUUCGUCAAUAUUUAUCGCACAAAAUAUUCAAGAAGUUAACAACCUCUUGAAAUUUCUGGAGAAAUGAAAAUAGAAUAGUCAACCAUUUAUCUUUGAUAUGGGAGAUAUCAAUUUGGCUGGUACCAACAACGACAACUGGUCUAUUUAAAUCGAACUUUGAUGCAAUUAAAUGAUUUUCAGAUCAUGUUUUGAAAGCUUUGAAAGAAAAUCGAACUUUGAUGCAAUUAAAUGAUUUUCAGAUCAUGUUUUGAAAGCUUUUUUAAUCAAUUUAGAAUUUCCAGGCGCAAUUUACCAAGUUUGGCUGUUUAUUCAAAAAUAUUUUCAUAACAUAAGAU